rnacentral:rRNA from 1 species
UAAAAGCUUGGUCCUGGCUUUUCUGUCAUCUCCGGCUAAAUUUACACAUGCAAGUAUCCGCACCCCUGUGAGAAUGCCCCACAGUCCCCCUCCCCGGGGACAAGGAGCUGGUAUCAGGCACACUAUAUGCUCGCCCACGACACCUUGCUCAGCCACACCCUCAAGGGAAUUCAGCAGUGAUAAACAUUAAGCCAUAAGUGAAAACUUGACUUAGUUACAGCCCCCAGGGCCGGUAAAACUCGUGCCAGCCACCGCGGUUAUACGAGAGGCCCAAGCUGACAGCCCCCGGCGUAAAGAGUGGUUAAGUUGACCCCAACGUGACUAAAGUCGAACGCCCCCAAGACCGUUAUACGUGCUCGGAGGUAUGAAGCCCAACUACGAAAGUGGCUUUAAAAUUCCUGACCCCACGAAAGCUGUGAAACA